UACGUAGGGCGCAAGCGUUGUCCGGAAUUAUUGGGCGUAAAGAGCUCGUAGGCGGUCUGUCGCGUCCGUUGUGAAAACUCGAGGCUCAACCUCGGGCUUGCAGUGGAUACGGGCAGACUAGAGUGCGGUAGGGGGAGACUGGAAUUCCUGGUGUAGCGGUGGAAUGCGCAGAUAUCAGGAGGAACACCGAUGGCGAAGGCAGGUCUCUGGGCCGCAACUGACGCUGAGGAGCGAAAGCAUGGGGGAGCGAACAGG
rnacentral:rRNA from 1 species